GAGAGGGUGCGGCCCCUGACCCGUCCUAGGGCCUGGCUAAUUGCAUGGGGGAAAGGGGUUGGAGGGGUUAAUGGCCGUCCCUGAGGCCACCUCAAACCCAGUUGUCCCUCUCUCCGCACCCCAGGUCACAGGUGAGGUCUGCAGGGCUGGCCCCACAGGGACGUGGGCCAGUCAGUGCCAAGGCCAGCCUGAGGCCCCCGCCCUCUGCUCCUGAUGACUGGCGUGGAUCAAAAGGCCCCGGGCUCGGCCUUGCCCAUCAGGGAAAUGCCACAUUGCUCUGGAAUGAGUCGCCAGCAUUUGCCAAACGAAAUUCAACUCCGCAGGACAGCUCGGAUAUGUUCCCUAGAUGACUGUAGAGGCGCGGGGAGGCCUGGAGGCCGGGACCAGGCACCUGCGAGGCACGCGGGGUGCAGCCUGGGGAAGCGGGGGGUGGGGGCACUGGAGCUCUGGGCCUGUGGGCAGUGCCCUUGCAGAGCUCUCUGCCAUCUGGGGGGCCUGGUGUGGUACCCCGAGGCCAGGGGGCGCGCUUCCUCCCAUCCGCCCGCGGGACAGGUCCAUCACGGGGUCCAGCUAGUGAGGCCGGGCAGCCCUGAAGCUGGCAGAUGGGAGCCGGAGCCAGAGGGAUGGGGCAGAGUGUGCAGACACCGCCGGAAGGAGCUGCACACGCACGGGAGCAGCGAGUUGCUUUUGCAAAGCUGAAAAAAGUCACUUCUGGUUCUUUUU